UAUAAAAAUGCCCAGAAUUCAGCUCUGUACUAGUAACACAGCUAAGAAACAGUUAACCAUUUUGACAAAUACGCUUAUUAGCUUUCAUGGUGAGAGUAAGAUGAGAAGAUCGAUACCACUCUCAUGUCUACGCAGUAAAUAUGAAGCCACAGCCAGGAGAUGGUUAGCUUAGCUUAGCACAAAUACUGGAAACCAGGGUGAAAAGCUUGCCUGCUUCUGCCAAAAGAAGCGUGUUGGAGACCUUUAGGAUUCCAAAGAUAAACUGGAAAAGUCAACCAGCAGGGCCGAGAGGGCAGAGUGUGAAUACAUUAAGCACUUGGGUGUGGACAAAACAACGGUACCGAGACCCAGCUGAAGAUGUGGUUCUCGGUCUGGUUCCAAACAAAAUCUGG